rnacentral:rRNA from 1 species
UACGUAGGGGGCAAGCGUUGUCCGGAAUUAUUGGGCGUAAAGAGCGCGUAGGCGGUCCGGUAAGUCGGUUGUGAAAGUCGGGGGCUCAACCCUCGGAUGCCGAUCGAUACUGUCGGGCUAGAGUCCGGAAGAGGCGAGUGGAAUUCCAGGUGUAGCGGUGAAAUGCGUAGAUAUCUGGAGGAACACCGGUGGCGAAGGCGGCAUCUUGGACCGGCAUUGACGCUGAGGCGCGAAAGCUAGGGGAGCAAACGGG